rnacentral:rRNA from 1 species
UACGAAGGGGGCUAGCGUUGUUCGGAAUUACUGGGCGUAAAGCGCGCGCAGGCGGUUUUCCAAGUCAGUGGUGAAAGCCCGGAGCUCAACUUCGGAACUGCCUUUGAUACAGCACGUCUUGAGUCCGAUAGAGGUGGGUGGAAUUCCUAGUGUAGAGGUGAAAUUCGUAGAUAUUAGGAAGAACACCGGUGGCGAAGGCGGCCCACUGGAUCGGUACUGACGCUGAGGUGCGAAAGCGUGGGGAGCAAACAGG